AGACUGGUGGAGAAGCAGUAGGAUCAGCAGUUUCCUGGUAAACCUUCUCCAAAGAGGAUUUCCAGAUGGCACAAGUCAGGAUCGGGCAUUCGCUCAGUGAAGGGGAAAAUAUAUACCGUUCUGGUAGAAAGCUUUCUGUUCAGAAAUGGCUGGUGAAGAACAACAUUCCUUGUUCUUUGAGUAAGGUACCCAACAUCGCUAUACUUGGCUCUGGAGGGGGAGAGCGAGCCAUGGUUGGGAUGCUGGGCUCCCUGUCCCAGAUGGGGGAACAGGGGCUUCUGGACGCUGCCCUCUACAUGAGUGGUGUCUCUGGAUCAACAUGGUGCAUGGCUUCUCUUUAUGAAAAGGCUAAUUGGUCAUCAGACAUGAAGCAGAUAAAGGUUGUUGCGGAAAGACUUGGGCACAGCAGUGUCAGCCUGAAGGACAAAGUUUGGAAACUGAAAAAAUAUCAUCAAACAAAUGACAAUUUCUCACUGACAGAUGUCUGGGCUGCACUGUUAGUGACUACGAUUGUCAAGAAAAUAGACGAAUCGACCCUCUCCAACUACCAAACGUGCCAUGACCAAGAUCCAUAUCCCAUCUAUACAGUCAUCGACCAGGAUUCUAAAUACAAACAUCUG